rnacentral:rRNA from 1 species
UAGGGAAUCUUCCGCAAUGGACGCAAGUCUGACGGAGCAACGCCGCGUGAGUGAAGAAGGAUUUCGGUUCGUAAAACUCUGUUGUUAGAGAAGAACAGCGCAUAGAGUAACUGUUAUGCGUGUGACGGUAUCUAACCAGAAAGCCACGGCUAACUACGUGCCAGCAGCCGCGGUAAUACGUAGGUGGCAAGCGUUGUCCGGAUUUAUUGGGCGUAAAGCGAGCGCAGGCGGUCAAUUAAGUCUGAUGUGAAAGCCCCCGGCUCAACCGGGGAGGGUCAUUGGAAACUGGUUGACUUGAGUGCAGAAGAGGAGAGUGGAAUUCCAUGUGUAGCGGCGAAAUGCGUAGAUAUAUGGAGGAACACCAGUGGCGAAGGCGACUCUCUGGUCUGUAACUGACGCUGAGGCUCGAAAGCGUGGGUAGCAAACAGG